rnacentral:tRNA from 1 species
GCCUUCGUGGUGUAGUGGUCAGCACUCUCGGCGCGAAUUCGAGAGGUCCGUGGUUCGAGUCCUGGUGAGGGCA